UUGCUCUUCAACGAGGAAUUCCUAGUAAGCGUGAGUCAUCAGCUCGCGUUGAUUACGUCCCUGCCCUUUGUACACACCGCCCGUCGCUACUACCGAUUGAAUGGCUUAGUGAGGCCUCCGGAUCGGCGUUGGGGAGCCGGCGACGGCACUCUGAUGCUGAGAAGCUGGUCAAACUUGGUCAUUUAGAGGAAGUAAAAGUCGUAACAAGGUUUCCGUAGGUGAACCUGCGGAAGGAUCAAUACCGAGUUCUUGAAGUGGGUCUUUGAGCUGGCUUACAUGGCACUGUGCUCGGGCCCCGCUCCAUCCACUCAACCCCUGUGCACUUUCGAUUGUAGUGUGCGGAGGGGACCGUCUUAACGGGUGGUUCUCGUCGAUGCCAUUACAUUCGUCUUAUCACAAACUCUUGACAUGUAAUUGUAGAACGUUGAAGCCUUUACAGGCGGAAACUCAAAUACAACUUUCAACAACGGAUCUCUUGGCUCUCGCAUCGAUGAAGAACGCAGCGAAAUGCGAUAAGUAAUGUGAAUUGCAGAAUUCAGUGAAUCAUCGAAUCUUUGAACGCACCUUGCACUCCUUGGUAUUCCGAGGAGUAUGCCUGUUUGAGUGUCAUGAAAUCAUCAACCACUUUGGCUUUGUUGUCGAAGAUGGCUUGGACUUGGGGAUAUAUGCUGGUCUGUUUCAUUACGGAUCGGCUUCCCUUGAAUGUAUUAGUGCGGGGUGCCUUACCGCCGAGAAGUGUGAUAGUCUAUCUUCACUGAUCGGCGGGGGGCUGUGUUAACCCGGGCUUCUAACCGUCGUAAUGGACAAUACACCUUGACAUUUGACCUCAAAUCAGGUAGGACUACCCGCUGAACUUAAGCAUAUCAAUAAGCGGAGGA
rnacentral:rRNA from 1 species